rnacentral:tRNA from 1 species
AGGAAUUUAGGUUAACUCAGACCAAGAGCCUUCAAAGCCCUAAGUAAGUAGCUAUACUUAAUUCCUG